rnacentral:rRNA from 1 species
CAGUCGCCGCGGUAAUACGUAGGUGGCGAGCGUUGUCCGGAUUUAUUGGGCGUAAAGGGAGUGUAGGCGGUCUUUUAAGUCUGAUGUGAAAGCCCACGGCUCAACCGUGGAGGGUCAUUGGAAACUGGGAGACUUGAGUGCAGAAGAGGAGAGUGGAAUUCCACGUGUAGCGGUGAAAUGCGUAGAGAUGUGGAGGAACACCAGUGGCGAAGGCGACUCUCUGGUCCGUAACUGACGCUGAGGAGCGAAAGCGUGGGGAGCGAACAGGAUUAGAGACCCCUGUAGUCCCUGUCUCUUAUAC